AAGUCGAGCGGGCCCUUCGGGGUCAGCGGCGGACGGGUGAGUAACGCGUGGGAACGUGCCUUCUGGUUCGGAAUAACCCUGGGAAACUAGGGCUAAUACCGGAUACGCCCUUUUGGGGAAAGGUUUACUGCCGGAAGAUCGGCCCGCGUCUGAUUAGCUAGUUGGUGGGGUAACGGCCUACCAAGGCGACGAUCAGUAGCUGGUCUGAGAGGAUGAUCAGCCACACUGGGACUGAGACACGGCCCAGACUCCUAC
rnacentral:rRNA from 1 species